UAUUCUGGAGAUCCCUUCAAAGGAACAGCUUUAUGACCCUGCCCAUGACUCUUUUCUCUCACGAUUGAAGUAUCUCUUCUCUACUGAAUUAGUAGCAUCUGAAAGUCGUUGAUGAUGGAAUAGUGUUUUUACACGCCCGAAUCAUUGUUCAUAUCUGAAUGUUGUAUUCUCUGUUACCUUGCCCUCGUAUGGCCUUGUUGUCUUGUGAGUACCGUAUAAAGAUUCCCUCAUCACUUCUAGCAUCAAAUUUUUCCAAGGAGUCCUUCCCAUUACUAUGAGCAAAACAACUACAUUCAAAUGACCCCAGAAAGUGACAAAAAUGUGAUGUGAUCGUGGUGAUGACUUUGGUUCAACGAGGAAUAUAAAACGUUGGAGUAGUAAAGUAUGGUUUCAUUUGUGUAACUUUCCUAGUGGUGGCUGGAUGUU